GCGCGAUUAGCUCAGUGGUAGAGCGUUUCUUUGACGUAGAAAAGGUCAUCCGUUCGAUCCGGAUAUCGCGCA
rnacentral:tRNA from 1 species